GUAUAAUGGUUUUGGUUUCUAGACCACAGACGUCCAUGGUCCAGUCUGGAAGCAUUAAGAAAAGUACAGAAUUUAUUGCCAGAUACGUUCUCAUUAAAGAUACAACUCUGUUCAGUCUUGAUGUGAAUGCCCAGGUGGAUAAGAGUUGCAGUGAUUGCUCGUGGUCCUGGAAACGAUGUUGUGUUGAAUGGGAAUAAUUGUA